UACGUAGGCAGCGAGCGUUGUUCGGAGUUACUGGGCGUAAAGGGUGUGUAGGCGGUUUUCUAAGUUUGGUGUGAAAUCUCCCGGCUCAACCGGGAGGUGCGCCGAAAACUGGGAGACUAGAGUGCGGGAUGGGAGAGUAGAAUUCCUGGUGUAGCGGUGAAAUGCGCAGAUAUCGGGAGGAACACCAAUUGCGAAGGCAGCUCGCUGGGACGUCACUGACGCUGAGACGCGAAAGCGUGGGGAGCAACAGGG
rnacentral:rRNA from 1 species